GAUGAACGCUGGCGGCGUGCCUAAUACAUGCAAGUCGAGCGAACAGACGAGGAGCUUGCUCCUCUGACGUUAGCGGCGGACGGGUGAGUAACACGUGGAUAACCUACCUAUAAGACUGGGAUAACUUCGGGAAACCGGAGCUAAUACCGGAUAAUAUAUUGAACCGCAUGGUUCAAUAGUGAAAGACGGUUUUGCUGUCACUUAUAGAUGGAUCCGCUCCGCAUUAGCUAGUUGGUAAGGUAACGGCUUACCAAGGCAACGAUGCGUAGCCGACCUGAGAGGGUGAUCGGCCACACUGGAACUGAGACAAGGUCCAGACUCCUACGGGAGGCAGCAGUAGGGAAUCUUCAGCAAAGGGCGAAAGCCUGACGGAGCAACGCCGCGUGAGUGAUGAAGGUCUUCGGAUCGUAAAACUCUGUUAUUAGGGAAGAACAAAUGUGUAAGUAACUAUGCACGUCUUGACGGUACCUAAUCAGAAAGCCACGGCUAACUACGUG
rnacentral:rRNA from 1 species